UGGGGAAUUUGGACAAUGGGCGAAGCCUGAUCCAGCAAUGCCGCGUGUGUGAAGAAGGCCUUCGGGUUGUAAAGCACUUUUGUCCGGAAAGAAAUCCUUGGCUCUAAUACAGUCGGGGGAUGACGGUACCGGAAGAAUAAGCACCGGCUAACUACGUGCCAGCAGCCGCGGUAAUACGUAGGGUGCAAGCGUUAAUCGGAAUUACUGGGCGUAAAGCGUGCGCAGGCGGUUUGCUAAGACCGAUGUGAAAUCCCCGGGCUCAACCUGGGAACUGCAUUGGUGACUGGCAGGCUAGAGUAUGGCAGAGGGGGGUAGAAUUCCACGUGUAGCAGUGAAAUGCGUAGAGAUGUGGAGGAAUACCGAUGGCGAAGGCAGCCCACGGCAGUCAACUGACGCUCAUGCACGAAAAGCGUGGGGAGCAAACNGGAUUAAUACCCUGGUAGUCCACGCCCUAAANGAUGUCAACUAGUUGUUGGGGAUUCAUUUCCUUAGUAACGUAGCUAACGCGUGAAGGUUGACCG
rnacentral:rRNA from 1 species